CGUGCCUGGAACAACCUUCCCCUGCCGAUUUACGGAGAUGGUCAAAACGUGUUGGCGACAAUUCACGUUUUGGAUCUUUCCAAUGUGGUUCUUAAUGUAAUUGAUAAACCCCCCAAACAAAAAUAUAUUGUCGCAGUCGAUGAAUCUCUUACAACUCUGGAGACCACAGUGAAGACAAUUGCAAAAAAAUUUGGAAAGUACAAGCCGGAGUAUGUCUCCAAAGAGGACGCUCUGCUUGACGAGGAAAUGGAGCAAUGGAAUUAUGACUUGUUACUCAUGGACUUGAGGGUUGAUGCUUUUUCGAUUAGAGAAAUGAUGAAUUUCUCAUGGAAAGCAACUUCUGGGUUGGUUGAACACAUUGACUUGGUGACCAACGAGUAUCGAAACACUCACUGU